AUGAGGUGGUGGAUCGAGCCAACUGGAUUGUCAAUUUUUACCUCAGCCUUUAUUUAUUUUGUAUUUUCAUUUAACGACUUUUUAUUGCCGUCCUCUUGUAUCGAAUGUACAGUUUUUCGAUGUUACGCACGAUCGGUAGGCGUUCAUGCGGCAUUCGUGUUUCGUUAUGCGCGAUCGUCCGUGAGGCGCCCAACAGCCCCUCGUAUUAUUUUUUUAUUCAUUCACUCGCAAACCAAUGUGACGUCAGCCUUCAUUUGCUAUCCGUAUGAAAAGGGCCACAACACUUGCCUCGGAUUUGAGUUGUGUGGAUUGUUACAUUGAGUUUGUUUUUCGUCGUCUUCACUGGAGGAUUGGACCGAAUUUUGGAGAUUGAAAAUUUCAAUGAGUUCAAUCAAUGAUGAGACAACCGUGGGGAGAAGUUAAAGAUGAGAUAUGGGUGGUUUCAUUCACGGAAAUUCCCCUCACAAAUCUGUACGAAGCCGUGGGACGGAUGAGAGGAAAAUCGGAGGAAAGAGCUCUCACUGUUCUAAAUCAUGUGCGAUAUAGUAAUGGAGACAGCAGUCGUAUUUUCAUUGAUAACGAGUAUACAUCACGCUGCUCAACUUCUGACCUUUGUUUAUAACGUCUCGACAUAAAUGUCUAUGAAAACACGAUAAACUUUCGAGUUGAGGCGAAUCUACGCCAUAGAAUAGUAUAUCCAAAAUAUCUGAUUAAUUAUUUACAGUGACUUCUCAAUAUUUAAAAACACAGAGAAUUGGUUGUAAAAGUAGUAAAAAAUUGAUUUUAUUCAUUCGGAAAAUAUUGUGAUAUUAUUUUAGUUAUUGAAGCCCUGCAUUCAGGGAUUCUGUUAUCGCAAGUUACUGCAUUUUUUUUUCUCGUGAAGAAACAGAAACUUUAUUCAACAUAAUGUUAUAGUUUUUCCGUGUAACAAUAUUCAUUUAACUUCUACAUAUGGUAAUUAUAAUUUACUUGGAACUCGUAUGCCAAUUAAAAUGACCGAAUAGAAGUCUUUAUUUAAAUUUUCCCUCUUAUUUCAACCAACUAACAACUUGUUCCAAUGAAAAUUAUUUAAUGACACCAGAAACACAAUUUAUAGUUCAAUUGAGAUACAAAUGAAUUUUUGUCAAUUUGCCAGGAAAAUUCUAUUCGAAGAAUUUUUUUUAUUUCUGUCGGAUAAAUCAUUUGUUUAGGUGACUCAUGUUAAUUAUUAACUGAAUACCGAUAUGAUUGGCGGUUUGAAUAAAAUUUUAUUACCAAAAUCAAUAAUUUUUCAAUUAAAUGUCCCCAGAAUGUGUUCACCGUAUUUUAAUUUAUUUAUAAUUUUUAUUUAUGUACUCUGGUUUCAAUGUGUCAGCCGGAUGCCAUUCCAAAAGCUGCGGACCAUGUGAGGACGGAUAAAGAAUCUGAAAAAAGAAUUUGAAAAAAGAAGAAGAAACAUAGUAAUAGAAAUACAGUUCGACGUCCGCAAAGAGUGCUUGGAAUGUCCAGUGGGUAGGAGGUGUCGUACGGCGGACAUAAAUUUCUCUUUGUUUUGUCCACCCAGUAAAUUUUUCGGUGACAAAAAAUAAAAGGUAAGAGGAAAAAAUGGAGAGAAAAAUAAAUUAAAAGAAAUAAUAAAAAGGCUGGAAAAAUAAAUGGAGGUAGAACAAUUCGAUGCUGAAUUUUCGGGGUGGAUGGCGUGACAAGACGCGUUUGGAAUGUCGCUUUCACGACGCCUCGUUGACGCCUCAUCGUUUUUCACUCGUAAAAAAUUCACUCUUGCAUCUUGACUAUUGUAGGUGUUUCAAUGUCUGCCAUUUAUAUGCCUCAAUGCAUAUACCUCACACAUUUACGCCAAUCCAAUCAGAAGAACUAAAAAAUCUAUUGUAAUCUCUUUCUGCAACUUGAGCAAAUUGAAGAGUUAUUCCAAAUCAGUAGAUAGUUUAUUCAAUUAAAAUAAAGUAGUUAUUUGAGAUGAAUGAAUUUUUUUUUUACCUGAUUAAAUGGU